rnacentral:rRNA from 1 species
AACGAACGCUGGCGGCAUGCCUAACACAUGCAAGUCGAACGAAGGCUUCGGCCUUAGUGGCGCACGGGUGCGUAACGCGUGGGAAUCUGCCCUUUGGUUCGGAAUAACAGCUGGAAACGGCUGCUAAUACCGGAUGAUGACGAAAGUCCAAAGAUUUAUCGCCAGAGGAUGAGCCCGCGUUGGAUUAGGUAGUUGGUGGGGUAAAGGCCUACCAGGCCGACGAUCCAUAGCUGGUCUGAGAGGAUGAUCAGCCACACUGGGACUGAGACACGGCCCAGACUCCUACGGGAGGCAGCAGUGGGGAAUAUUGGACAAUGGGCGCAAGCCUGAUCCAGCAAUGCCGCGUGAGUGAUGAAGGCCCUAGGGUUGUAAAGCUCUUUUACCCGGGAAGAUAAUGACUGUACCGGGAGAAUAAGCCCCGGCUAACUCCGUG